rnacentral:rRNA from 1 species
UACGUAGGUGGCAAGCGUUGUCCGGAAUUAUUGGGCGUAAAGCGCGCGCAGGCGGCCUCUUAAGUCUGAUGUGAAAGCCCACGGCUCAACCGUGGAGGGUCAUUGGAAACUGGGAGACUUGAGUGCAGAAGAGGAGAGCGGAAUUCCACGUGUAGCGGUGAAAUGCGUAGAGAUGUGGAGGAACACCAGUGGCGAAGGCGGCUCUCUGGUCUGUAACUGACGCUGAGGCGCGAAAGCGUGGGGAGCGAACAGGAUUAGAUACCCUCGUAGUCC